AUGUAGUGUCUGUCUUUGUUGUGGAACAGGAGCUGCAGAGGGUAAUGUCGGUCUGUCUGUUGUAGAACAGGAGCUGCAAGGGUAUGUCUGUCUGUUGUGACAGGAGCUGCAGGGGUAUUCUGUCUGUUGUGUUGAACAGGAGCUGCAGAGGGUAUGUAUGUCUGUCUGUUGUAGAACAGGAGCUGCAGAGGGUAUGUCUGUCUGUUGUGGAACAGGAGCUGCAGAGGGUCUAUGUCUGCUCGUUGUGUAACAGGAGCUGCAGAGGGUAUGUCUGUCUGUUGUGGACAGGAGCUGCAGAGGGUAUGUCUGUCUGUUGUAGAACAGGAGAGAUGCCGAGGGUUGUCGUCUGUUGUGUAACAGGAGCUGCAGAGUGAUGUCUGUCUGUCUGUUGUAGAAACAGGAGCUGCAGGGGUAUGUCUGUCUGUUGUUGUAGAACAGGAGCUGCAGAGGGUAUGUCUGUCUGUCUGUUGUAGAACAGAGCUGCAGAGGGAUGUCUCUGUCUUGGUGGAACAGGGCAGCUCAGGGGUAUGUUCUGUCUGUUGUAGAACAGGAGCUGCAGAGGGUCUUGUCGUCUGUCUGUGUAGAACAGGAGCUGCCAGAGGGUCUGUCUGUCUGUUUGUUGUGGAACAGGUGCUGCAGAGGGUAGUCUGUCUGUUGUGGAACAGGACUGCAGCGGGUAUGUCUGUCUGUCUGUUGUGACAGCGAGCUGCAGAGGGUAUGUCUGUCUGUUGUAGAACAGGAGCUGCAGAGGGUAGUCUGUCGUUGUCUGUCUGUUGUGAGCUCUAUAUGACAAGGUGUCAGAGGUCAUG
rnacentral:lncRNA from 1 species